GACGUAGGUGGCGAACGUUAUCCGGAAUUAUUGGGCGUAAAGGGUGCGUAGGCGGUAGAAUAAGUUAGUGGUGGAAAAUCGGGGCUCAACCUCGUGGAAGCCAUUAAUACUGUUUUGCUAGAGGACAGGAGAGGUUAACGGAACUCCUUGUGGAGCGGUAAAAUGUGUAGAUAUAAGGAAGAACACCAAUAAGGCGAAGGCAGUUAACUAUUCUGAUCCUGACGUUGAGGCACGAAAGCGUGGGGAGCAAAUAGG
rnacentral:rRNA from 1 species